GAUGAACGCUGGCGGAGUGCCUAACACAUGCAAGUCGAGCGGCAGCACGAGUAGUUUACUACUUGGUGGCGAGCGGCGGACGGCUGAGUAACGCGUGGGAACGUGCCCCAAAGUGAGGAAUAACUGCCCGAAAGGGUAGCUAAUGCCGCAUAUGAUCUUCGGAUUAAAGUAUUUAUUACGCUUUGGGAGCGGCCCGCGUCCGAUUAGGUAGUUGGUGAGGUAAAGGCUCACCAAGCCCACGAUCGGUAGCUGGUCUGAGAGGAUGACCAGCCAGACUGGAACUGAGACACGGUCCAGACUCCUACGGGAGGCAGCAGUGAGGAAUCUUCCACAAUGGACGAAAGUCUGAUGGAGCAACUCCGCGUGCAGGAUGAAGGCCUUCGGGUCGUAAACUGCUUUUAUGAGUGAAGAAUAU
rnacentral:rRNA from 1 species